AGAUCAGCCCUGGGGUUCAGAGGGAUCCUGACGGCUACUCCUCAAGAUCCUCUCUGUUGUGAUUCAUCCCCCCCAGGCCCUACAGUUUCUCCUUCCUGACUCUUACAUUUCUUUGGAUGGCAUCACUAUUUACCUGUCUCCUCCCAUAGUUAGUUGCCAAGCACUGUGGAUUCUACCCCUCAGGGUCCAGACACCCAUUUUCCUUCCCACUGUUCCCUCCCCAUGGAGAAGCCUGUGGCUGACUGACAGCUCAACUUGGAGAAGGUGUUACCUGGGCCAGGUGGGGAAGGUAGGGUUGUUUGCAGAGCAAAGAAGUGAAGGAAGUAUUAACCCUUUGCAUGGCCUCCUGAGAAUCUGACAAGACGUAAAUAGCCAAGAAUAUCUGUGGAACUUAAUCAGUGAGUUACAAUAUUUAUCACUCCUAUUCAAUGUGAAAAAGAUGAGGGCGAAGACCUUUAUGAUGAUCCAAGUAAUGAACACACUGGAGAAAGUCAAACAGUCAAAACAAUGUCCCAGACUCCGUGAAGUUCCUGGGUAGAGAAGUAGACAGACGUACACCAUACCUAAUAAUUGGAGGUCCAAGAGAAUGAGAGAAUGGCAGAAAGAACUUUAGAGCAUGGGUAUGAUGGCUAGAGCUUGAGCAGCCAUUGUGGACAUCAGAU
rnacentral:antisense_RNA from 1 species